rnacentral:rRNA from 1 species
CCUACGGGAGGCAGCAGUGAGGAAUAUUGGGCAAUGGGCGGAAGCCUGACCCAGCAACGCCGCGUGGAGGAUGAAGGCCUUCGGGUUGUAAACUCCUUUUAUGGGGGAAGAGAGUGGACGGUACCCUAGGAAUAAGUCACGGCUAACUACGUGCCAGCAGCCGCGGUAAUACGUAGGUGACAAGCGUUAUCCGGAAUUACUGGGCGUAAAGCGCACGCAGGCGGCUAAGCAAGUCUGACGUGAAAUAUCCCGGCUUAACUGGGAUGAGUCGUUGGAAACUGCCUGGCUUGAGGCAACGAGAGGGGUGUGGAAUUCCCGGUGUAGUGGUGGAAUGCGUAGAUAUCGGGAGGAACACCAGAGGCGAAAGCGGCACCCUGGCGUUGGCCUGACGCUCAUGUGCGAAGGCGUGGGGAGCGAACGGGAUUAGAUACCCUUGUAGUC